rnacentral:rRNA from 1 species
GACGAACGCUGGCGGCGUGCUUAACACAUGCAAGUCGAACGGUAAGGCCCCUUCGGGGGUACACGAGUGGCGAACGGGUGAGUAACACGUGGGUAAUCUGCCCUGCACUUCGGGAUAAGCCUGGGAAACUGGGUCUAAUACCGGAUAUGAGCUCCUGCCGCAUGGUGGGGGUUGGAAAGUUUUUCGGUGCAGGAUGAGUCCGCGGCCUAUCAGCUUGUUGGUGGGGUAAUGGCCUACCAAGGCGACGACGGGUAGCCGGCCUGAGAGGGUGAUCGGCCACACUGGGACUGAGACACGGCCCAGACUCCUACGGGAGGCAGCAGUGGGGAAUAUUGCACAAUGGGCGAAAGCCUGAUGCAGCGACGCCGCGUGGGGGAUGACGGUCUUCGGAUUGUAAACCCCUUUCAGUAGGGACGAAGCGCAAGUGACGGUACCUGCAGAAGAAGCACCGGCCAACUACGUG